GGACGAACGCUGGCGGCGUGCUUAACACAUGCAAGUCGAACGAUGAAGCCCUUCGGGGUGGAUUAGUGGCGAACGGGUGAGUAACACGUGGGCAAUCUGCCCUUCACUCUGGGACAAGCCCUGGAAACGGGGUCUAAUACCGGAUAAUACUUUCCUCCUCCUGGAGGAAGGUUGAAAGCUCCGGCGGUGAAGGAUGAGCCCGCGGCCUAUCAGCUAGUUGGUGGGGUAAUGGCCUACCAAGGCGACGACGGGUAGCCGGCCUGAGAGGGCGACCGGCCACACUGGGACUGAGACACGGCCCAGACUCCUACGGGAGGCAGCAGUGGGGAAUAUUGCACAAUGGGCGAAAGCCUGAUGCAGCGACGCCGCGUGAGGGAUGACGGCCUUCGGGUUGUAAACCUCUUUCAGCAGGGAAGAAGCGAAAGUGACGGUACCUGCAGAAGAAGCGCCGGCUAACUACGUGCCAGCAGCCGCGGUAAUACGUAGGGCGCAAGCGUUGUCCGGAAUUAUUGGGCGUAAAGAGCUCGUAGGCGGCUUGUCACGUCGGUUGUGAAAGCCCGGGGCUUAACCCCGGGUCUGCAGUCGAUACGGGCAGGCUAGAGUGUGGUAGGGGAGAUCGGAAUUCCUGGUGUAGCGGUGAAAUGCGCAGAUAUCAGGAGGAACACCGGUGGCGAAGGCGGAUCUCUGGGCCAUUACUGACGCUGAGGAGCGAAAGCGUGGGGAGCGAACAGGAUUAGAUACCCUGGUAGUCCACGCCGU
rnacentral:rRNA from 1 species